ensembl:lncRNA
ACUGUAAACUCCUUGUGGCAGCCAUUGUAAAAACGGUGUAUUAAUGAUUAAUGCACAUAAUCUAAACACACUACAUGCCAUAUAUUCCUUGAGCUUAAAGAUGCUUCAAAAUAUUCCUCUUUGAUUUGUUUUACUACUUUGAGAGUAUAAAUAAUUUGGCGUGAGGCAGAUUUGCAGACGACGUUAUGUCUCUUUCUGUCCUGCACCUCCACAGCACGACGACACAGCAGGGUUUCUGCAACUUCUCAAUUUAAUGACGCUUGCCUGUCAUGUUUUAUGAAGGGAACUUUGUUUUUUUUUGUCUACCUCCAUGCAAGCUACCUCUGUCCCCACUCCCGUAAAUGGCUGUGCUAUAUUGACACUGUCUGCACACAGGUUUUAUUUAACUAUGUUUUGACAGUCUCUGAGUUUAAAAUGGUGCAGGUUGAUGCCUACACGUCCACUCAAUAGUGUGAAGGACGACAACCCCUCUGCCUUGUUCUGCUCCAGACGCUUUCUUCUUCACCCUGCUUUAUUUUGUCAUUCAGUCACUGGAAUACAAGAAAUAUUGAUCAGACAAGGACGCGUGUGGCGCAAUCAUGAAGACUGUGACCUGUGGAUAAUAUGGAUGUCCCGCACUCUGGCAAUAGGGUAAAGGUCGUGUCAGCCUGUAACGUUUAAUUGAAUGGUUUCUCAUGGUCACUGUGACACAUGUUUAGUCAAUUUCUCAGCUUUUCUAAAUCAUAUCCAGGGUGAAUAACAUUAAACGAUCGCCCUCAAACAGCUGUUGAUUAAACCUAUGAAGCCAAAACAAAUUUGAACGUGUGACAGUAAAAUUAAAUACUUUCAUAGAAAGUCCCAUUUUCUUCCCAUUCGAGUGUGUUUACACACACUAAUAAUAGUUCAUGCUCACCCAGGAGUCAGAGGAAACCAAAAGUUCAGGCCUAAAGGCUGAGCGGGUCAGACUUUCGUUCCAUACGUGGCUUGGCGUGUGAUUGUUAGAUAGCGAUGCGAUGUGACAGCCAGCAGAGGCUCCGCCCUCCGCUGUGCUUCGGCUUCGUCAGCUGCAGAACAAACCAUUCGAAACCUUCCCGGGCAUAACUCGACAGCCUGUGCAGAGCGACAUGAAGAAAUGUAACGUAUGUAGAUUGCUUCUUUCUCUGGCCUUUCAAUCGUUAUAAAGUAGACCAGCUCAUUUCAGACAAAAGAAACAUCACAGAAAACAAGCCAUAACAUGUGAAGAGACUGUGAGUGCAACAAGUGCAGCUCAAUCGAUGCAGGAUGUUUUGUAAGUGUCAUAUAUGUAUAUAUUCUUUAUUAUGAUUGAGCGUUCCUAUUUUCCGUUGAUCAUUUCUAAAUCAAACGCCGUCCUCAUCACUCUGUCUUGACGCAAGACCUCCAUGUGAAGCCCACUUCAAACAGUCUGCACUCUGUUUUGCGUGGCAUGAGUUUGAUGGGUUUGGUUGGCCCGCGUAAUGCUUCCCAAGGUUUCCAUCGGGCUGAUAAGUGAUGCGAGUAAUCAUACUGCCUGUGCGUACGGUGAGUGAUUGUCCCCGGGGGGGAGAGCAUUAACACCACAGCACAAACAGCAGCGUUUCGUCUGCGUCGUCUUCUGCACUGUGCGUCCAGAUCCAUAUCUCUCUCUUUCACAACACGUUUUGACCACAUCUCAACAUUGUGUACAGAGAUAGACGGAGAACCACAGAGAAAAUUGCUCAUUAUGUACACUCAGUCUUCUGCCAUUACAGAGAGCACCUACCCUGCACUCACACAUUACAUUAUUUUUAGGCCUCUUCGUUGGAGGGACGGAUAGCACUUUAAUCUAAACCCUGCAAGUCCUCAUAGCUCAUAUAGCGAUAGCGGGUGUCAUAUACAGUUCUCCCACACAGCUGUAACUAAAAUUCAAAUGAAUUUAUUCCUGAACAGCUGCGUAGGUCCGCUGGGUUCGACUGUGAUUGAGGCUUCUUCAGUCCAGUUGUCGUUAGAUAAAAAGUUGGGGUAACACAAAGGUUAUUACGAUGCAUCGACUGGGAACAGUGAAUCCAUUGAGCAUUUGUUGAGAUAUUUCAGUCUGGACCAAAGUGAUUACAUGGCUAAAAACUCAUCAAGUUGAGAACUAUGGCCAGAAAAUCUCAACAGUGCUGCAAACAAACAUCCCUCAUUAAUGAAACAUAAAUCAGCUCGCUGAAGUUCUUUUCAAUACGGCUCUUUGUCGUACGAAGACACGUGUCAUCUCUCUUUAGAAGGAGCAGUAAAGGAGGGGGGGCAGGCAUCGGCACACCGCCCCCCCUGUUCCUCUGACUGUUCCUAUGAUGGCGGCUGCUUGAAGGCGGAUUUUGUAAAGGUCACCCGCUGAGUGCACAGACUGCCACAGUUAUAAACACUACAGACACAGCCACAGGAGGAUUUAGAUCUAGCUGUGUUCAAAUAAACAAUUACCCUGGAGAGGCCCUCUCAUACAGAGCACAGUGGCACGUGCCAAUUCCAGCAGACACACAAUCAGUUGCACGUUCCUAAUGGUUGGUAAUGUUCUCAGUAAUGGGCUACAGACAAAUGCGGCUCAAGACUCGUUUGGCCUCAAAAGUCGAACACAUGAAUAAUUCAAGAUUUACGUCGGAUUAUACUAGAAAAUAAACAAAGAUUGCUUCCAAAAAUCCAAUACCAAGAUACAGAUCUCUCAAAUAAGUGCCUGGAUCAAUGGGUUCGCUCAUCCAGGUGUAAUUGAUAUCAGCCCAAUUCAUCAAACAGCAAAUGUGUGACGGUCAACAACUUGUAGGAUUGAGUUCAAAAUCCACACACUUCACUGCCAUAGAUUAUUGAAACCGUGCUAAAUAUUUGAUCAGCCAAGCUACUGACGGGUAAUUACAUAACUCCUGCGGUUUAGUAUGGUAAUUUCAUGUCCAGAAGAGUCG